rnacentral:snRNA from 1 species
GUUCACUUCGGCAGCACAUAUACUAAAAUUGGAAUGAUAGAGAGAUUAGAUUAGCAUGGCCCCUGCGCAAGGAUGACAGGCAAAUUCAUGAAGCGUUCCAUAUUUUU